UACAGAGGUCUCAAGCGUUGUUCGGAUUCAUUGGGCGUAAAGGGCGCGUAGGCGGCGGGGUAAGUCGGGUGUGAAAUCUCAGGGCUCAACCCUGAAACUGCACUCGAUACUGCUCUGCUUGAGGACUGGAGAGGAGACUGGAAUUCACGGUGUAGCAGUGAAAUGCGUAGAUAUCGUGAGGAAGACCAGUGGCGAAGGCGGGUCUCUGGGCCGAUACUGACGCUGAGGAGCGAAAGCGUGGGGAGCGAACAGG
rnacentral:rRNA from 1 species